rnacentral:lncRNA from 1 species
GGGCAAACGCCACAUCCUCCAACAAAUAUAUGUUACAGCAGAAAGGCUCAAGUGGAAGGCAAGCAUUCUGGUCUUAAUGUUUUAGGGAUUGGGGUCCCCAUUGUGACACCGAGGGCACGGUGUGUCAUGGAGACACCUCCCUGCUUUGUGACCACCCAGAUCCCCUGCCCCUAGUAUUUUUAUUUUUUUGUUUUGUUACCAUAAUUGGAGCUGGACUGGCUGGAAACAAAAUGCAGGUAUGCAACCACCCCACCCUCUUACCUGACUUUCCCUUAGAAUGCCUCUGGGUUCCAAGUGGGGGUGUUCUGAAGGCUUGGGGGGGAUCUGUUGGUUUAGGGUGUGUUUCCACCGCUUUUUCUUUUAUUUAUUUGGGAAGUGUUGCCUGGUGUUAUGUAAUGAGUCGAAUAGGAUCCAAAAGGCAGCAGUCUGAUUGGUCCUAGAACAAUAGGAUCCAGAAUGCAGCAGUUUGAUUGGUCCACAGGAGCCACCCAAUCCAGCUCCAGGUGGAAGGGAAUCCGCAACCUGAUUGGCCUACAGGAGAAUCCUGGAAUUAGCCAAUCACGCGGGGCCCAUUAUGUAAAUAAUGUAUACAAGGCAGACAUUCUGGGGAAACUUCCAUUUCUCCUCACCACUAUGAGCUGAAUAAAGAGCAUGAAAUCCACUCUCAACUCCGAGUAUAUUUCACCUACUUUUUUGGUCUGUGUUUUAUUUUAUGUUUUCGAAUGGGGAGCAGGUGUACAUGCCCCCAGACUGAAAAAUGUCGAGGACCAUUGAUUUAGGGCUUAAAAAGUAACAAUCUGCACUUUCCACUGGAUUAUGAAACACUACUCAGAAUGUCAAAGGUACAAUCCAGCCAACGUUAACUAUUUCAAUCCUAUUAAUUUAAUAGUGGAGUUUAGCACCCUCCUUUUGAAAUCACUGGAACUGAGGAGUGUUUAACCUAGGCUGCAUUUUGCCCCAGCCACCUGUACUCCUUGAAAAAUCUUUUUUGCAGGCAAGAAACAGGAUUAUUGUCUGUUUUUUCCCCCCUGUGGUGAAGUUAAACAGAAGAAGAGAGAGAAAGUCCCAAGAAAUCAGCAAGGAAACUUCCAUAUUGCAAGUGAAAGAUGGCAGGAGAUCAUUCACAAAAAUGGAAAGAGUAUAUCAUAUAGUUAUCAGAUGGAGUCUGCGAACUCUAAAGAUCAAUUUUCUUUGAAGACUUUUAAAAUGUCAAGCUGAUUUACAUAAUUAAAUACUAAGAGGGGGUAUUUAUGAAGGUAAUAAAUGUGAAGCUUUGUUCCUUAUAUUCCAAAACCUAAAACUCUUUUUAACAGGAACUUUUAGAUGUCACACUGAUUACACGUACCCUAGCAACCAGAGUGUUGUUGAAACGUUAAGUGUAUGAGUCAUUGUAAAAAAAAUUUAAAAUACAGUGGGACGUUGUGAAUUUUAAUGCAUGGCACAGCAAUCCUUCGUAGGAAAUUAUUGAGUUAAAACUUUAGGCAAAAGUUUAAGUAAAAUUAAAUGACCCUCUUGUCGCACACUCCUAAUGUAGUUCUGUGGUUUCAGAAAGUAUUGUUGCAUGCCAUCCUAAUCUCUCAGCAGUGAGAUAUUCCAGGGUUUUUAGGUGCUUAUCCAGGGUUUGUGUUUCCUUUUGGGAAUGAGGGACCAUGGAGACUUAAUGAUAUAUGGUUUACUUACACAUAUGUACAACCUGAGCCUGAGUGCAUUCCCUAUUCCAGUCAGAUCUUUAAACACCUAGAGACCUGGAAAACAAGGCUGAAAUAUAUGUGUACACUACACUACUGUAUAUAUAUUUAAAAGGCACAUCAAAUAUUUUCAGCUAACAGACCAGAUUCUGGAGAUAAUCCCUUCUAUAUAGGGACAGCUGCAAAUACAGACAGCCUCAAAGAAGCAAUUUAAAUUUCUUCCAGUCAGGCAAAAUGACUAAUGUUGGCUUGUUUAUUGGCAGUCUUCUGCUAACACUACAACCUUCUAAAACAAUAGUCAACCUGCUUCCCACCUGAAUCUCCAACCACAUACCUUGUUUCUUGAUUCCAUUAGGUUCAAUUUGUUUUCUUCAUCAAGGAAACAAAAGAGGACUUUUUAACCUAUUAGUCACUCCACAGGAGUAGGCAGACACCCACUUACUUAGAAGUUUUUCAAGAGAUUGGAGAAAUAGGGAAAGUUUGAGGGAAAGGAAAACCACAUGUGCAAAUGAACACCUAACAGAGCACCAGGUUAUUUUUGUUCAGUGACACUUCUGGGUUCUUAACAUCUCGAUGCAACAAUUUCAAAGGGAGCUUUUAUAUGAAUCUAUUUUCAAAAUUCAACCAUCUUACUCAUAAGAGUUGGAAAGGAGACACAAAAUGGUGCAAGUCCAGGGGUUGUUUUUUAAUGUUAUUCAGUGGUACGGUCCCUGCCCCUUUCCCUUCACCAGAGUGUCCCCUUGUAUGCUCUAAGUGCAUGCAACCUGAGGGCCAAGAAAUAUAAUCCCAUGCACCACAUCCUUCCAUCCAAGUUGUGGUCUCCCUGGUUUAAUAUCCUGGGUGGUAGGGUGUGAUUAAAGCAAUGACAAACCUAGACAGCAUCUUAAAAAGCAGAGACAUCACCUUGCCAACAAAGGUCCGUAUAGUAAAAGCUAUGGUUUUCCCAGUAGGGAUGUAUGGAAGUGAGAGCUGGACCAUAAAGAAGGCUGAUCGCCGAAGAAUUGAUGCUUUUGAAUCAUUAUGGUGCUGGAGGAGACUCUUGAGAGUCCCAUGGACUGCAAGAAGAUCAAACCUAUACAUUCUGAAGAAAAUCAGCCCUGAGUGCUCACUGGAAGGACAGAUCCUGAAGCUGAGGCGCCAAUACUUUGGCCACCUCAUGAGAAGAGAAGACUCCCUGGAAAAGACCCUGAUGUUGGGAAAGAUGGAGGGCAUAAGGAGAAGGGGACGACAGAGGACGAGAUGGUUGGACAGUGUUCUCGAAGCUACUAACAUGAGUUUGAUCAAACUGCGGGAGGCAGUGGAAGACAAGAGUGCAUGGCGUGCUCUGGUCCAUGGGGUUGCGAAAAGUCGGACAUGACUAAACGACUAAAUAACAAGGGUGUGAUUGCGUGCUGAGCAUUUCCUAUGCUGUUUUCUUUCAUUCUAUUUAUUAUUGCAUUUAUAUCCCACCUUUCCUGCAAGGAGCUCAAGUUGGAGAGUGUAUGAGUCUCACCUUCCACAUUUCACCCUCAUCACAAGCCCAUGAGCUAGCUUGGGCUGCAGUUUUGACUGCGCAAUGUCACCCACUUGAACCCUGGUUCUCCCAGGUUAUGUUCCAACAUUCUAACCACUGGGCCACCCUGGCUGGCUGUUAGUGGCAGCACUGUCUAUUUCCCCCCUUUUCAUUUAUGUCAAUGCACGGGAACAUUUUUGCACUAGGUCUGGGGCUGCUGCAAAGUUCCAUCAUUGCUUAGGCCAGGCAUAGGCAAACUCUGGCCCUCCAUAUGUUUGGGACUACAAUUCCCAUCAUCCCUAGCUAACAGGACCAGUGGUCAGGGAUGAUGGGAACUAUAGUCCCAAACAUCUGGAGGGCCGGAGUUUGCCUAUGCCUGGCUUAGGCCAUGGUUUGGAGGAAUAUAGGAUAUGUUCAGAGUCUGCUGCUCCCCUGGGCUGCUCACAAUCCUAAACCUUUUUGGAUGUUCUCCUGACACACCUGAGGUGUUCCAACAUCAGUUUUUCCCUGUGUUCUGCCAAGAUAGUGGGGCUUGUGCCAAAUUCUGUGGAUCCCAAGAGAGCAUAACUGGAGUAUAGGAUUGCCUCAGGGGAAAACAACCCCAAUUUUAUUACAGAAGUUUCAAAACAAUUACAGAUCGUCAUGACAGAAUCAUUUUUCUUCUAUGUUUUCUCAGGGGCUGCUUUCUUUUGCUGGACCAAUCAGGCUAGGAAGCAGCUUGGAACCAGGGUGGAUGCAGGAAAUCAGUUCAGAUCAGCAAGGCAAGGUUUAUUUAAGGAAUGAGUCCUGACAACUGGGAGCAAACACCACAUUUGUGGUAACAGAAAGCAAGCGUUUCCUUUGUCCUCCACAAACUUGUAACUCAUAAGGGGGCAGCCAGGAUAUGGACAUAAAAUCACACUCCUCUGUGUUUUAUACAGGGCAAAACUUGGCUUUACUUCACCCAGGUCAAAUACCCAGCUCGGCAACCCCCAUGCAUAUUUAUUCACACACAGGCUGGCAUCCUCAAUGGCACCUCUCUGGAAGUUUCACCCGGGGCAAAAAAAAACCUGGCUUGCCCCCUGGAGCUACAUUCAUUUGUCUUAGAUGAAUGCAAAAUUGUGUUUUUGAACAUGUGAUCUAGUAGAUAUAGGGCUGGAGUUGAACUGGAAAUUGUUGUUUAGUCGUUUAGUCGUGUCCGACUCUUCGUGACCCCAUGAACCAGAGGACGCCAGGCACUCCUGUCUUCCACUGCCUCCCGCAGUUUGGUCAAACUCAUGCUGGUAGCUUCGAGAACACUAUCCAACCAUCUUGUCCUCUGUCAUGCCCUUCUCCUUGUGCCCUCCAUCUUUCCCAACAUCAGGGUCUUUUCCAAGGAGUCUUCUUUUCUCAUGAGGUGGCCAAAGUAUUGGAGCCUCAGCUUCAGGAUCUGUCCUUCCAGUGAGCACUCAGGGCUGAUUUCCUUCAGAAUGGAUACGUUUGAUCUUCUUGCAGUCCAUGGGACUCUCAAGAGUCUCCUCCAGCACCAUAAUUCAAAAGCAUCAAUUCUUCGGCAAUCAGCCUUCUUUAUGGUCCAGCUCUCACUUCCAUACAUCACUACUGGGAAAGAACUGGAAAUACCAGGGUUCUAAUCCACCCUCAUCUGAGUUUUCUGGUCCAAGGGGAAUGCAUUAAACUGUUAUAGUUGCUUCAGUGGGGAAAAAAACACAUGAAUUCCUCUUCUUAGAUAAAAAACAUACUCGAAAGAUUUUACCAUUCAAAAUAAUGUAUAUAUUUUUUGAGGCCCAGCAUUCCUACUUCCUGCCUGCUGGUUUCCUACCUAUGGGCUUGGUCCCAGCAUGCCUCUUUUCUCAUUUCCUUGCCAGCUGGCAGGGUAAUUCUCUGCAUGCAGAGGGCAGUCAACAGUGACUUCUUCCUUAGAUCACCUGGGGCAACAGCAGCUGUUAAAUGUGAGCUUCUUUUCUCGCUGAUGCAUUCGCUCUCCAUCUUUCUUAAUUUUUAAUGGGGAGAGGAAAUCAAACAGCCCAAGAAAAUUAAGACAUCUAAACACAGUUUCUCUCUUUCCCUCCCCUGAUUUGUUGUAGAAAUCCAGAUGUUUCCCUCUUUGGCAAGGAUAUCUCGUAUUUCUGCGCAUGAACCAUGAAGAGUGCCGUUCUUCUCUAAGAUGGUGCAGCCAUUGCGAUCCUGACCAUCAGCUGCAUUAAAUGCGCUUGCAUGCUAGAUUGUUGCAUUAAAUGCACUUGCAUGCAAGUUUGUUGUGAACCUCCCUGAGAUCUGUGAGAAUAGGGCGGUAUACAAAUUUAAUAAUAAAUAAAUAAAUAAUCAAUUGGGUGCAUCUAGAGUCUAGACUGUCACUCUCUUUGCAUGGGAUUCAGUUGUAUUCCAGCAAAUUCAGAGUGUACAAUUUUAGUUGAUUGGGAUGUCAUGUGCAACAAACCCGCUGUCCCAAAAGAUAAGACUUUUUACGAUAAGGAAAUUCUCUUGGGAUGUUAAGGGGGAAAAGUCGGUUGUAUUUCAAUUAUGGCCAAAAAAAAGUAAAACAAUUUUUUAUCUUU